rnacentral:lncRNA from 1 species
GCUCCGUGGACCUCCCAGCGGGGCUGCUUUCUGAGGUGAUGGUCUCCUCGCUCCUUAGCCAGCCUGGUGGAGCCAGCUACUGACGUUGGAAAGGAGUUGGAGGAUGGAGGUUUGUGGCCGGCAAAUGAGAGGUGUCGGGGAGGGAGAAGAGAAAAGCAAGCGGGCUGAGGAAAAAUGUAAGGGAGGGAGAUGGUUCUUCGAUGAAACCUCUGGCCUCUUUUAAACCAUAAAGAGGUCUGGCUGGUUUGAUUCCAGUCCAUAAAAUGGCUCAGUAGGAUCUUAGGGAUUAUUUAGCUCAAACCCCUGAGAGGUGAGGAAACUGAGGCCCAGAGGUCCCACUUGCCUUUGGUCAUGGGGUGAGUAUGUAGCCCAGCAGGGUCCCAGCUCCUGUGAGCUGCGAUUCAUGGUGUUAUCUUUGCUGGGGAGGCCUGAAGUUCCUUUAGCUUGUCCAUGUGAAACAGAGGAAGAGCCCACAAGGAACGCAUUCAUCUCAGAGUUAGGUGACCUUGGCUUUGGGAUCUAGUUGCUCAUUACUUCCACUUUCCUUGCCAACAUCUUUCCUAAGCCUUCCAGAUCAGGGCACAGUACCACUCCCUUGCUGCCAGACAGGUGGCCUGUCGUGUGGGCAGGAAGGGGAGUUCAAGGCAAGCAAGGCCCACUGUGAACCCCCUGCUAGAAGUGCUCUCCCCUUCCUUCUUUUGGAGGUGGCAGUUACUAGGCAGCAUGACCCAGAGGAGGAGAUAAGCUGCCUCUGAUAGGAAGGUUUUAUCUUUGAGGUUAUUGCAAAUAUGCCUGACUUCUUCAUCUGGUUCUGUCCGGAUCUGAACUGGUAGCCAGAUAAACUGUUGGCGGUCCCAUUUCAUGUAUUUAUCAAGUCUAAACAAUUGUCAGGAGGCAAUUAUCCCCCAGGAAGCCAAUGGCAGAUAAAUAGUGUCCCGCAGUCUGGUUCCAGCCAUGGAAUCUGUAAGUUGUCCCUCCUUGCCCUGUGCAGAUUUUCUCCUCUGUCCCUGCUGCCCUAAAUUUUAAAGGAGGUUUGAUGUUCCAACACGUUUGCUUUGGUGUUCUUUGCCCACAGCCCCAAAUAAAAUCUAAUGGUUUUUAUAGGUGGAUAAAUCCUUUUUAAAGGCUCUUUUGUUAUCACCAUGGGGUUUGUGAGCACUAAAACUGGAUUUUAAGGGAUCAGUGAAACCUUAGAAUCACGGUUUGCUGUAUCUGGAAGGAACCAUGACCACUUGGUACAGACCCUUCAAGCGGUAGAUGAAGAGGCCAAAGCACGAAGGGAUUUGAUGGCUUGUGAAGGCAACGUGCUCUUCAGAGUCGGGCAGACGUGCAGCUGAAGCUUGGUCUGGCCACUGAUCUGCUGCCCGGCCUUGGGUAAACUCCUGGAGCCCCUAUUUCCUUAUUGAUUACAUGGAGAUACCAAUCCAGACUGCACAGUAUUGUGAGAGGUAGUAAAACUGUUUCCCUCUGGUCGAGGUCAAACAGACAACUGGGGGGCAGAGCUAAUGCCAGAACCUUAGUAUCCUGGCUCCCAGGUCUUUAUCCUUUCCAUUAUUCUGCAGGAGGUCUUCAGGCUACUGUUAAAUAAAAAGUAAAGCUUCUACUUCGUUCCACCCAAAAUUCUAGUUCAGUGUUUCCCAGACAGAGCACCUCCAGCGGGUCUGAGGCUCAGUUCUAUGUGGAGACUCAUGUUUAUACGAUGACAGCAUCUAUAUUUUUUCUGGAUGAACUAAUAAUCGACUGGCCAUUGUAUUUAGGAAAAACCAGACAUCACCUCAUGGACGUCUCAUUGAAGGGGACCGUCAGUUAUUCCAUUCAUUCUGGCAAAUUUUCUUUUUAGCUUUGGUUGCAGCAGGAAGAGAGAGACGUCUGGGGGGCUUUUUGCCUGUUGGAAGGGCAUCACUCGUCCACAGCUGGAGCCCCUGGGAUGACCCAUCCCAAGGUCCCAGCCUAAGUCUGAGGUUCCAGGGCUGGUCGCAGGCCGUCCUUGCAGCCCUCGCCAGAGCGUUGUCUGCACCUCCGACACUAGGUGGCGCCAUAGGAACAUCCUCGCGGCCCGAGGCGCGGUCGCAGCCGGGGAGCACUCGCCACGGUGCUGUGGAAUUCUCUGGUUUUUCACGCAAGGUCAGGCGUCCUGCUGGCGCCCUCUCGCCACCCUGCCCUCCCGUCAGAAGCCCGGCUCCUCGCCGGGGAAGGCCGGAUGCUGGCCCGCCGGGACCUGGGACUUGUGCCACAUGGAGUGUCGGGAGUCUCCAUUGCCGCGAGUUCUACACCACAGGGCCAGGCUGUUUGCUCCCCAUCGGUCGCUGCCCCCAGCACCCUGUUGUUAUUAAGGACUCAUUUGCUUGGAGCGGCAUCAUUACAAGGGUGUGGGCACCAGAUACUGCUACACCAUCUCAUCGGCAUGGACCUAUAUGUGGCAGCAAGUCCAUCUCAUCGCUUUUGGUGAAAGUCAGUCCAGUUUGUAAAGAUUCUCAUUGUUUUGCAGGCUUAGAGGUCUUGGCUUCCAAAGGGAGAAAGCUUCCACCAGGGGACACAGAAGGGUCCCAUUGAACUCUAAGCUAUGGUUACUGGUGGGGCACUUCAGAUUCCAUG